rnacentral:rRNA from 1 species
GUAGAGGAUGUUUCGGGCGCGGCGCCGGUGUAAGUCCCUUGGAACGGGGCGUCAUAGAGGGUGAGAAUCCCGUACGUGACCGGCGAUCAAGCCCAUGUGAAACUCCUUCGACGAGUCGAGUUGUUUGGGAAUGCAGCUCAAAAUGGGUGGUAAAUUUCAUCUAAAGCUAAAUACCGGCCGGAGACCGAUAGCGCACAAGUAGAGUGAUCGAAAGAUGAAAAGCACUUUGGAAAGAGAGUCAAAAAGUACGUGAAAUUGUUGAAAGGGAAGCGCUUGCGACCAGACCUGCCCGCGGGCGAUCAGCCGUCCCUUCGGGGGCGGUGUACGCGCCCGCGAACAGGCCAGCAUCGGUUCGGGCGGCCGGAUAAAGGCCCUGGGAACGUAGCUCCUUUCGGGGAGUGUUAUAGCCCUCGGCGGCAUGCGGCCAGCCCGGACCGAGGACCGCGCUUCGGCAAGGAUGCUGGCGUAAUGGUCGUAAGCGGCCCGUCUUGAAACACGGACCAAGGAGUCUAACAUCUAUGCGAGUGUUUGGGUGUCAAACCCAUGCGCGCAAUGAAAGUGAACGGAGGUGGGAACCCUUCGGGGGCGCACCAUCGACCGAUCCUGAUGUCUUCGGAUGGAUUUGAGUACGAGCAUAGCUGUUGGGACCCGAAAGAUGGUGAACUAUGCCUGAAUAGGGUGAAGCCAGAGGAAACUCUGGUGGAGGCUCGCAGCGGUUCUGACGUGCAAAUCGAUCGUCAAAUUUGGGUAUAGGGGCGAAAGACUAAUCGAACCAU